rnacentral:lncRNA from 1 species
CUCCCAGCACCCCUCACCCAACACACAUAUACCCAGCUCCUCUUUCUCUCUCCUGGACUUUCUCUUGUCCCUCCAAGCUCCUCCUCUACUUUCCAUCCAGCACUUCCAGUGGGGACCCAGGGAGAGAAGGCUGACUAACUGGUUUGGCCAGCUAUCAGCAGGCAGAGAGGAAAUCUGGCUAAGGAUGCUGCUUGUGCCUGUUUCUGCAGGACUCAGGUGAAACCAUUCUGGAAAUCCCCUUCUGCAUGCUUCUGAGCAUUCUGGUGACUGUGAGACAACAUAAUACUGUGUUUGAAAGAUGAGAGGCUUUCUUCCCUUCCUCGUGGCUUUCAGCACUAGAGAUUUCCUGCCAUGCAUGCUGAGACAGCUGAGACACAAACCCACGCUCACCCUCCCCAUGCUGCCUUUCGAUACUUCUGUUGGAUUUACAGCUGAAUGAAGCGUCUGUGUGCAGACUGUGAUGUGGGAGGGGAAGGAGAUGCCUUAAGAAGUGUCUUCAAUGCUGGCGUAUCUGACAAACCCAAUAUGGCUGAGAUGGAGAAAGUUGAAAUUGAAGACAGAAAUGCAAGAGAAAAAUCAGCUGCCUCCAAAAGAAACAAAGGGAUGGAAGAAGGAAGCAGACAAGUGGAAAUGAGGCCAGUAGGCCCUGUCCAUUCUGCAAGCAUUGCUUUCUUAUUUUCCUUCUUUUCGCUGUUUGACUUUGUAAGAUGCCAAGGGUAGAUCAAGUUUAAACAUCCAUGUUCCCUUUUCACAUCAAAGAACGGUGAACUACUGACAACCAAGGCUAUGCCUGCCUCUCCCAUCUGCCUGCCUGGCUGGCAGAGAAAGAAAAUAACUCACACGCUGGUGAAGGAAGAAGCUGAGUAAGAUGACAAUGAAAU